rnacentral:rRNA from 1 species
GAUGAACGCUGGCGGCGUGCCUAAUACAUGCAAGUCGAGCGAACAGACGAGGAGCUUGCUCCUCUGACGUUAGCGGCGGACGGGUGAGUAACACGUGGAUAACCUACCUCUAAGACUGGGAUAACUUCGGGAAACCGGAGCUAAUACCGGAUAAUAUAUUGAACCGCAUGGUUCAAUAGUGAAAGACGGUUUUGCUGUCACUUAUAGAUGGUUCCGCGCCGCAUUAGCUAGUUGGUAAGGUAACGGCUUACCAAGGCAACGAUGCGUAGCCGACCUGAGAGGGUGAUCGGCCACACUGGAACUGAGACACGGUCCAGACUCCUACGGGAGGCAGCAGUAGGGAAUCUUCCGCAAUGGGCGAAAGCCUGACGGAGCAACGCCGCGUGAGUGAUGAAGGUCUUCGGAUCGUAAAGCUCUGUUAUUAGGAAAGAACAAAUGUGUAAGUAACUAUGCACGUCUUGACGGUACCUAAUCAGAAAGCCACGGCUAACUACGUG